rnacentral:tRNA from 1 species
UGGGGGAUCGUCUAAUGGUAGGACAAUAGCCUUUGGAGCUAUUUAUUUUGGUUCGAAUCCAAGUCCCCCAGCCA